UACGAAGGUGGCAAGCGUUGUCCGGAUUUACUGGGCGUAAAGAGCGCGCAGGCGGUCGUUCAAGUCGCGUGUGAAAGCCCCCGGCUCAACUGGGGAGGGUCACGCGAUACUGAUCGACUCGAAGGCAGGAGAGGGUAGUGGAAUUCCCGGUGUAGUGGUGAAAUGCGUAGAUAUCGGGAGGAACACCAGUGGCGAAGGCGGUUGCCUGGAGCUUUGCUGACGCUGAUGCGCGAAGGCGUGGGGAGCGAUCCGG
rnacentral:rRNA from 1 species